rnacentral:rRNA from 1 species
GGGGGGACCAUCCUCCAAGGCUAAAUACUACUGACUGACCGAUAGUGAACCAGUACCGUGAGGGAAAGGCGAAAAGAACCCCUGUGAGGGGAGUGAAAUAGAACCUGAAACCGUGUACGUACAAGCAGUAGGAGCAGGCUUGUCCUGUGACUGCGUACCUUUUGUAUAAUGGGUCAGCGACUUAUAUUCAGUGGCAAGGUUAACCAUCUAGGGGAGCCGUAGGGAAACCGAGUCUUAACUGGGCGUUCAGUCUCUGGAUAUAGACCCGAAACCAGGUGAUCUAGCCAUGGGCAGGUUGAAGGUUGAGUAACAUCAACUGGAGGACCGAACCGACUAAUGUUGAAAAAUUAGCGGAUGACUUGUGGCUAGGGGUGAAAGGCCAAUCAAACCUGGAGAUAGCUGGUUCUCCCCGAAAGCUAUUUAGGUAGCGCCUCGGACGAAUACUACUGGGGGUAGAGCACUGUUAAGGCUAGGGGGUCAUCCCGACUUACCAACCCUUUGCAAACUCCGAAUACCAGUAAGUACUAUCCGGGAGACACACGGCGGGUGCUAACGUCCGUCGUGGAGAGGGAAACAACCCAGACCGCCAGCUAAGGUCCCAAA